rnacentral:sRNA from 1 species
UAAUAACUAUUCUUAUUAAUAACUAUUUUUAUAUUUACCGGCGCUGUGGGGGUUGGCUAGCUCGCUGGGGGUGGCGGGCUGUGGAUUUGCUUAAUCGUGAGCUGCUUAAUUUGUUCAAACAACUCUGGUUUUUCCGCCAACACGCUAAAGAGCUUCUCUUUGCCAAUCGCAAUGUUUUGGCUCUUAAACGAAUAUGCAUUGUCACUGCGCACCACCACAUUGUGUUUAAGCGCUAACUCAAUCACUUCGUGUUCAUACACAAUACCGCGGUUAAACAUAAUUUCCAAAAAGGCAACACCAAACGGGCGCGCUACCUUAUUCUUGGACACGGUUAACUUACUCUUAAUGCCGACAUAGUUACCAAAGCGGUCUUUGAGCAGUUCACUGCGUUUGGCCUCCAUCCGCAUCGAAGCGUAGAACUUCAACGCCCGACCCCCAGUAGUUACUUCCCCAUUACCAAACAUGACUCCGGGUUUUUCCCGGAGUUGGUUAAUAAACAGUAAGCAGGUGUCAGAUUCAGGUAAGAGUGACUGCACACGGCGUAGUCCCUUAGACAUCAUCCGCGCAUGGAGUCCUAUUGUCUGGUCAUCCAUGUUGCCCUCCAGUUCUUGCUUAGGAAUCAAAGCCGCCACGGAGUCCACCACAAUUAAGGCCACUUUGUUGGUCUUAAUCAGUGACUCCAUUAGGGCAAAGGCGUUUUCCCCAUGCUUGGGAUGGGCUACUAGUAAUUUACCCAAGUCAAUCCCAAUUGCCUUGGCGUAACUUAAAUCUAGUGCACCCUCAGCAUCAAUGUAACAGGCCACUUUGCCCGCUUUUUGAAAGCUAGCGACUGCAUGUAACGCGACCGUGGUUUUACCCGAGGACUCGUUACCAUAAAGUUCUACAAUGCGCCCUAGUGGCAAACCACCAGUGCCGAGCGCUUCAUCUAAAUGAAGGCUUCCAGUUGAGACAGUUUUAAUUUCACUGUUUUUCUUUGCAUCUAAAAAAUCAAAGUCUGCCAAGUUAUUGUUUUGAAUAAAACUGUUGUCUUGGCUAAUUUUC